GUUCUGUCAUUUUACUAGAAUCCACCCCGACGAAUGGGCCUCUGUCGAGGCGAGUACGCGGCAGCGGCAGCUCUUCCACUGGAGACGCUGAAUCAAAUUCAUUAAAUGCCUAAUUCGAACCAUUCAUUUCCCAUUCCCAAAAUUUAUUUCUCUAAGUGACUCAAAGGCGAUUUGAAGUGUCUUCUAAGUGGAUUCAUCUUGGGACUAUGAGUAUUCAGAGGCUCUUUGGAAGGGUAACGCUCACAUUUAACGGUUCGUGGCAACAGCUCGGCAUCGAGAUUCCACAUCAGGCCCUCUUGAGUGAGUUUCCCGAGGCAGUCAGUUAGAAUUUCCAAGGUGAGCCAUGUUCUGAUCUGCUACUCGGAAAACUCUUCUAUCAUGAUACUUGUCCCUUGUAUUCGAGACAGUAUUGUUCAGACUAGACGUAUUUUACUAUUCAGAAUUAUGCUCAUACUUAGUAGCUUUUGUACUGUGACUUGACCAGAUUCCUUGGGUAGCUGUUAUAUUUCCGCACUUAUAGACUUUAUUUGGUAUAGGGACUGCUUAGAAACUUCUGUUUCUUUUGGUCUGCUUAAUUUGAAAGAUUGAA